ACCGGCGCACGGGUGAGUAACACGUAUGCAACCUACCUGUAAGAGGGGAAUAACCCGGAGAAAUUCGGACUAAUACCGCAUAAUACCACGAAGCUGCAUGGCUUUGUGUUUAAACAUUUAUGGCUUACAGAUGGGCAUGCGUAUGAUUAGAUAGUUGGUAGGGUAACGGCCUACCAAGUCAACGAUCAUUAGGGGUUCUGAGAGGAAGGUCCCCCACACUGGUACUGAGACACGGACCAGACUCCUACGGGAGGCAGCAGUGAGGAAUAUUGGUCAAUGGGCGAGAGCCUGAACCAGCCAAGUCGCGUGAAGGAAGAAGGUUCUAUGGAUUGUAAACUUCUUUUGUAAGGGAAUAAAAAAGGUUACGUGUAACCUAUUGUAUGUACUUUACGAAUAAGGAUCGGCUAACUCCGCGCCAGCAGCCGCGGUAAUACGGAGGAUCCAAGCGUUAUCCGGAUUUAUUGGGUUUAAAGGGUGCGUAGGCGGACCCGUUAGUCAGUGGUGAAAGUUUGCAGCUCAACUGUAAAAUUGCCAUUGAAACUGCGGGUCUUGAGUGUAAAUAAGGUAGGCGGAAUGUGUUGUGUAGCGGUGAAAUGCUUAGAUAUAACACAGAACACCAAUUGCGAAGGCAGCUUACUGGGAUACAACUGACGCUGAGGCACGAAAGCGUGGGGAUCAAACAGGAUUAGAUACCCUGGUAGUCCACGCAGUAAACGAUGAAUACUAGCUGUAUGCGAUAUACUGUAUGUGGCAAAGCGAAAGCGUUAA
rnacentral:rRNA from 1 species